GCCGGGCACAGUGGCUUAUGCCUGUAAUCCCAGCACUUUGGGAGGCCAAGGCAGGAGGAUUGCUGGAGCCCAGGAGUUCAGGACCAGCCUGGGCAACACAGUGAAAUCCAGUCUCUU
rnacentral:SRP_RNA from 1 species